rnacentral:lncRNA from 10 species
CGUGAGUGCGCGUGCGUUGGGGCCUCAGCCUUUAUCUCCACUCUGCGGAGAUUCACGCCUGGAAAACGCUCUUCUGAGAGGAUCUGUGGAGGUCAACCCAGGAGAGAGAAGACAGGACUGAAGCACUGAAAGGGUCCUGCCGUUAAGGGCGCAGGAUUGUAUAGAAUAUAUAAUAGCAGUAGCAGCUCUGUUUACGGAGCAUUAACCUUACGUGGAGUUAUUUCCUGCAUUUCCUCCUUUCGUCUUUACAAGGUAGCCGUUUGGCGUCGUGAGGUAUGGAUGUUCCCAUCCCUAAUUUGCAAAAUAGGUAACUGAGGCUCAGGAGAGCUAGACUAGUUUGUGCACAGCCGAGAAGUGGUCAAGCUAGAAUGGGACCCCAGGUUUGUGCUCCCUACUCUCCACCGAUAACCUAUCAAAGGGCUUUGCAAGAGCUUUUGACUAAUCGUCUGUCAAUGGUUCUUCAUUCACGUAUUAAUUGCACAUCAGUAUGUGCCAAAUCUACUAGACAUUGGAGAAACAGUAGGAACAACACAUGGUACCGGCACAUGGAUCUUUCAGGAAAACGAAGUAGGUAAUAAACAGGAAAAAGCCCGAGUCUGAUGCUAAGAAGAACAUAAACAGGAUGCUGAGAGAUUGGGUCUCUCCACAUUGCCCCGGCUGCUCUCCAACCCCUGAGUUCAAGUGAUUCACCUCCCUUGGCCUCCCAAAGUACUGGGAUUACAGGCGUGAGCCACCGUGCCUGGCUGAGAAGAUGGAUUUAAGACAUAUUUUGGAGCGGAAAGUGACCAGAAGAGGUGUGCAGUUUCCAGGCCUGGCCCAUACAGACCUCCAACAGGUGCUCCCCUGUGCUGUUACUCCUUCUGCCAACUGGAAGCAGAUGGUGACCAGGCUCUGGAGAAGGCAAGGCCUGAAGAUGGGAGAUUCCUAAGUGGAGGAGAACUGUGCCUUACUGACCUAAAUAUCCACUCAGUAUUGUUAUGUGAGAAUAAAUAAACUUGUGUUGACCGUUUACU